CCUACGGGGGGCUGCAGUCGAGAAUCAUUCACAAUGGGGGAAACCCUGAUGGUGCGACGCCGCGUGGGGGAAUGAAGGUCUUCGGAUUGUAAACCCCUGUCAUGUGGGAGCAAAUUAAAAAGAUAGUACCACAAGAGGAAGAGACGGCUAACUCUGUGCCAGCAGCCGCGGUAAUACAGAGGUCUCAAGCGUUGUUCGGAAUCACUGGGCGUAAAGCGUGCGUAGGCUGUUUCGUAAGUCGUGUGUGAAAGGCGCGGGCUCAACCCGCGGACGGCACAUGAUACUGCGAGACUAGAGUAAGGGAGGGGGAACCGGAAUUCUAGGUGUAGCAGUGAAAUGCGUAGAUAUCGAGAGGAACACUCGUGGCGAAGGCGGGUUCCUGGACAUGAACUGACGCUGAGGCACGAAGGCCAGGGGAGCGAAAGGGAUUAGAUACCCGAGUAGUC
rnacentral:rRNA from 1 species